AUUGAACGCUGGCGGCAUGCUUUACACAUGCAAGUCGAACGGUAACAGGCCGCAAGGUGCUGACGAGUGGCGAACGGGUGAGUAAUGCAUCGGAACGUGCCCAGUCGUGGGGGAUAACGCAGCGAAAGAUGCGCUAAUACCGCAUACGAGCUAUGGAUGAAAGCGGGGGACCGUAAGGCCUCGAGCGAUUGGAGCGGCCGAUGUCAGAUUAGGUAGUUGGUGGGGUAAAGGCUCACCAAGCAAACGAUCUGUAGCUGGUCUGAGAGGACGACCAGCCACACUGUGACUGAGACACGGCCCAGACUCCUACGGGAGGCAGCAGUGGGGAAUUUUGGACAAUGGGCGCAAGCCUGAUCCAGCAAUGCCGCGUGCAGGAAGAAGGCCUUCGGGUUGUAAACUGCUUUUGUACGGAACGAAACGGCGAGCUCUAAUACAGUUUGCUAAUGACGGUACCGUAAGAAUAAGCACCGGCUAACUACGUGCCAGCCGCCGCAGUAACAC
rnacentral:rRNA from 1 species